rnacentral:misc_RNA from 1 species
AAGGACAUUUGGGUUUCCAAGUGAACUAAAAAAAAAAAAUCAUAAAAGCAGGACGAGUAUUAUUCAAGAAGUUUUCAUUAGAAAUACUUAGAUUUUUAUUUAGUAAUAGGUUAGAAUCUUCCUCAUUUGAUAUUUACUUAUAGGACUACUACAUAACUAAGCAACCAAUCAUGUUAAGUAGUUUGAUUUAGUUUGUAAUGCCCAUGUGCCCAGUUUGUCUCUCUCUAUUCUCUCUUCCUUUCAUUAUUCCUUCUAUAGUCAUAGCCUCCAAUUUAUUUGCUUCUCAAGCUUUAGACAACUUAACCCCAAAAGUUCACUUCCUACAUAAGUGUCAACCCUACAAGUGUCAUCAAAUCACUUGAGAUAUGCUCACCAUAAAGCACUAGUCGGUUGACUAGUCUAUCAAAAAAUUAGUAGUUUAUUAGCGUAUCCAAAAAUAAUCUACACAAACACCUGUAGAUUAGAAUAACAAAUGCACAAAGAAUUAAGACAAGGAACUUUAUGCGGCAAAAAAUGUGCCACCAUGAAAAGGUUAUAAAAGCCUUCUUAUAGCAUGUAAUUAUGGUAUUCCUGUUUGUGCUAGGAUAUCACAAAUCAAGUUAAUUAUGAUAAAUCAUUAAAUUUGUCAUUCAAUUUUUUUUUUUAUCAUAUAAUCUCA